ensembl:snRNA U6 U6 spliceosomal RNA
AGGACCAUCAUCAGGUCCUGCUCUGUUCAGAUAUAGAGUAGAUCAUCAUGGCGCCUGUGAAAGGAUGACAUGAAAAUUCUUAAAGCAUUCCAUAUUUUU